rnacentral:rRNA from 2 species
GCUCUUUCUUGAUUCGGUGGGUGGUGGUGCAUGGCCGUUCUUAGUUGGUGGAGCGAUUUGUCUGGUUAAUUCCGAUAACGAACGAGACUCUAGCCUGCUAACUAGGCGUAUUUUGACAUCCUAAAGGCCCGCCGGCUUGGGCUUCGCCUUUAGUCGUGCGCGGUUUUUACUGUCGGCGUACAAACAAUUCUUCUUAGAGGGACAGGCGGCUUC